GCAGAAAUGGUGGAACUGGUAGACACGAUAUCUUGAGGGGGUAGUGAGCAAAGCUUGUGAGGGUUCGAAUCCCUUUUUCUGCACCA
rnacentral:tRNA from 1 species